GUGCCAGCCGCCGCGGUAAUACAGAGGUCCCAAGCGUUACUGAGAAUCACUGGGUUUAAAGGGUGCGUAGGUGGCGCGUUAAGUCCGUUGUGAAAUCCCUUGGCUCAACCAAGGAACUGCUUCGGAUACUGGCGUGCUUGAGGCCGGUAGGGGUCACUGGAACAGACGGUGGAGCGGUGAAAUGCGUAGAUAUCGUCUGGAACGCCGGUGGUGAAGACGGGUGACUGGGCCGGUUCUGACACUGAGGCACGAAAGCGUGGGGAGCGAACGGGAUUAGAUACCCUGGUAGUCC
rnacentral:rRNA from 1 species